rnacentral:rRNA from 1 species
AGUGAACGCUGGCGGCAGGCCUAAUACAUGCAAGUCGAACGGCAGCACAGCAGAGCUUGCUCUGUGGGUGGCGAGUGGCGAACGGGUGAGUAAUACAUCGGAACGUACCCAGAAGUGGGGGAUAACGUAGCGAAAGUUACGCUAAUACCGCAUACGACCUACGGGUGAAAGCGGGGGAUCGCAAGACCUCGCGCUAUUGGAGCGGCCGAUAUCAGAUUAGCUUGUUGGUGGGGUAAAAGCCUACCAAGGCGACGAUCUGUAGCUGGUCUGAGAGGACGGACCAGCCACACUGGGACUGAGACACGGGCCCAGACUCCUACGGGAGGCAGCAGUGGGGAAUUUUUGGACAAUGGGGGCAACCCUGAUCCAGCCAUGCCGCGUGCGGGAA